rnacentral:tRNA from 1 species
GGGAGCGUCGCAUAGCGGCAAUUGCAACAGACUGUAAAUCUGUCGCCUCACGGCUUCGGAGGUUCGAGUCCUCCCGCUCCCA